AUUGAACGCUGGCGGCAUGCCUUACACAUGCAAGUCGAACGGCAGCACGGGUGCUUGCACCUGGUGGCGAGUGGCGAACGGGUGAGUAAUACAUCGGAACGUACCUUAUCGUGGGGGAUAACGCAGCGAAAGCUGUGCUAAUACCGCAUACGCCCUGAGGGGGAAAGCGGGGGAUCGCAAGACCUCGCGCGAUUAGAGCGGCCGAUGCCUGAUUAGCUUGUUGGUGGGGUAAAAGCCCACCAAGGCGACGAUCAGUAGUUGGUGUGAGAGGACGAUCAGCCACACUGGGACUGAGACACGGCCCAGACUCCUACGGGAGGCAGCGGUGGGGAAUUUUGGACAAUGGGGGCAACCCUGAUCCAGCAAUGCCGCGUGAGUGAAGAAGGCCUUCGGGUUGUAAAGCUCUUUUGUCAGGGAAGAAACACCGGCUCUAACACAGUCCGGGAAUGACGGUACCUGAAGAAUAAGCACCGGCUAACUACGUGCCAGCAGCCGCGGUAA
rnacentral:rRNA from 1 species